AGGUGUCUUGGCUAAUGUGUCUUGGCUAAGGUGUCUUGGCUAAUGUGUCUCGGCUAAUGUGUCUUGGCUAAGGUGUCUUGGCUAAGGUGUCUUGGCUAAGGUGUCUUGGCUAAGGUGUCUUGGCUAAUGUGUCUUGGCUAAGGUGUCUUGGCUAAGGUGUCUUGGCUAAGGUGUCUUGGCUAAUGUGUCUUGGCUAAUGUGUCUUGGCUAAGGUGUCUUGGCUAAGGUGUCUUGGCAAAGUGUCUUGGCUAAAGUGUCUUGGCUAAUGUGUCUUGGCUAAGGUGUCUUGGCUAAGGUGUCUUGGCUAAGGUGUCUUGGCUAAGGUGUCUUGGCUAAAGUGUCUUGGCUAAGGUGUCUUGGCUAAGGUGUCCUGGCUAAGGUGUCUUGGCUAAUGUGUCUUGGCUAAUGUGUCUUGGCUAAGGUGUCUUGGCUAAGGUGUCUUGGCUAAUGUGUCUUGGCUAAGGUGUCUUGGCUAAUGUGUCUCGGCUAAUGUGUCUUGGCUAAGGUGUCUUGGCUAAGGUGUCUUGGCUAAGGUGUCUUGGCUAAGGUGUCUUGGCUAAUGUGUCUUGGCUAAGGUGUCUUGGCUAAGGUGUCUUGGCUAAGGUGUCUUGGCUAAUGUGUAUUGGCUAAUGUGUCUUGGCUAAGGUGUCUUGGCUAAGGUGUCUUGGCAAAGUGUCUUGGCUAAGGUGUCUUGGCUAAGGUGUCUUGGCUAAGGUGUCUUGGCUAAAGUGUCUUGGCUCAUGUGUCUUGGCUAAGGUGUCUUGGCUAAUGUGUCUUGGCUAAUGUGUCUUGGCUAAGGUGUCUUGGCUAAUGUGUCUUGGCUAAUGUGUCUUGGCUAAGGUGUCUUGGCUAAUGUGUCUUGGCUAAUGUGUCUUGGCUAAGGUGUCUUGGCUAAAUUGUCUUGGCUAAGGUGUUUCGGCUUAUGUGUCUUGGCUAAGGUGUCUUGGCUAAUGUGUCUUGGCUAAUGUGUCUUGGCUAAUGUGACUUGGCUAAUGUGUCUUGGCUAAUGUGUCUUGGCUAAUGUGUCUUGGCUAAUGUGUCUUGGCUAAUGUGUCUUGGCUAAUGUGUCUUGGCUAAGGUGUCUUGGCUAAGGUGUCUUGGCUAAUGUGUCUUGGCUAAUGUGUCUUGGCUAAGGUGUCUUGGCUAAGGUGUCUUGGCUACUGUGUCUUGGCUAAGGUGUCUUGGCUAAUGUGUCUCGGCUAAUGUGUCUUGGCUAAUGUGUCUUGGCUAAUGUGUCUUGGCUAAGGUUUCUUGGCUAAUGUGUCUUGGCAAAUGUGUCUUGGCUAAGGUUUCUUGGCUAAUGUGUCUUGGCUAAUGUGUCUUGGCUAAAGUGUCUUGGCUAAGGUGUCUUGGCUAAUGUGUCUUGGCUAAGGUGUCUUGGCUAAUGUGUCUUGGCUAAUGUGUCUUUUCUAAGGUGUCUUGGCUAAGGUGUCGUGGCUAAAGUGUCUUGGCUAAGGUGUCUUGGCUAAUGUGUCUUGGCUAAUGUGUCUUGGCUAAGGUGUCUUGGCUAAGGUGUCUUGGCUAAGGUGUCUUGGCUAAAGUGUCUUGGCUAAUGUGUCUCGGCUAAUGUGUCUUGGCUAAUGUGUCUUGGCUAAUGUGUCUUGGCUAAGGUUUCUUGGCUAAUGUGUCUUGGCUAAUGUGUCUUGGCUAAUGUGUCUUGGCUAAUGUGUCUUGGCUAAUGUGUCUGGGCUAAGGUGUCUUGGCUCAUGUGUCUUGGCUAAGGUGUCUUGGCUAAAGUGUCUUGGCUAAGGUGUCUUGGCUAAUGUGUCUUGGCUAAUGUGUUUUGGCUAAUGUGUCUUGGCGAAUGUGUCUUGGCUAAGGUGUCUUGGCUAAGGUGUCUUGGCUAAUGAUUCUUGGCUAAGGUCUCUUGGCUAAUGUGUCUUGGCUAGAGUGUCUUGGCUAAGAUGUCUUGGCUAAUGUGUCUUGGCUAAGGAGUCUUGGCUAAGGUGUCUUGGCUAAUGUGUCUUGGCUAACGUGUCUUGGCUAAGGUGUCUUGGCUAAGGUGUCUUGGCUAAUGUGUCUUGGCUAAGGUGUCUUGGCUAAGGUGUCUUGGCUAAUGUGUCUUGGCUAAGGUGUCUUGGCUAAGGGGUCUUGGCUAAGGUGACUUGGCUAAGGUGUCUUGGCUAAUGUGUCUUGGCUAUGGUGUCUCGGCUAAUGUGUCUUGGCUAAUGUGUCUUGGCUAAUGUGUGUUGGCUAAUGUGUCUUGGCUAAGGUGUCUUGGCUAAGGUGUCUUGGCUAAUGUGUCUUGGCUAAGGUGUCUUGGCUAAUGUGUCUUGGCUAAUGUGUCUUUUCUAAUGUGUCUUGGCUAAGGUGUCUUGGCUAAUGUGUCUUGGCUAAUGUGUCUUGGCUAAGGUGUCUUGGCUAAGGUGUCUUGGCUUAUGUGUCUUGGCUAAGGUGUCUUGGCUAAUGUGUCUUGGCUAAUGUGUCUUGGCUAAUGUGUCUUGGCUAAUGUGUCUUGGCUAAUGUGUCUUAGCUAAGGUGUCUUGGCUAAUGUGUCUCGGCUAAUGUGUCUUGGCUAAUGUGUCUUGGCUAAUGUGUCUUGGCUAAUGUGUUUUUACUAAGGUGUCUUGGCUAAUGUGUCUUGGCUAAGGUGUCUUGGCUAAGGUGUCUUGGCUAAGGUGUCUUGGCUUAUGUGUCUUGGCUAAGGUGUCUUGGCUAAGGUGUCUUGGCUAAUGUGUCUUGGCUUAUGUGUCUUGGCUAAUGUGUCUUGGCUAAUGUGUCUUGGCUAAUGUGUCUUGGCUAAUGUGUCUUGGCUAAUGUGUCUUUGCUAAGGUGUCUUGGCUGAUGUGUCUUGGCUAAUGUGUCUUGGCUAAGGUGUCUUGGCUAAGGUGUCUUGGCUAAUGUGUCUUGGCUAAUGUGUCUUGGCUAAGGUGUCUUGGCUAAUGUGUCUUGGCUAAGGUGUCUUGGCUAAGGUGUCUUGGCUAAGGUGUCUUGGCUAUUGUGUCUUGGCUAAUGUGUCUUGGCUAAGGUGUCUUGGCUAAGGUGUCUUGGCUAAUGUGUCUUGGCUAAUGUGUCUUGGCUAAUGUGUCUUGGCUAAUGUGUCUUGGCUAAGGUGUCUUGGCUAAGGUGUCUUGGCUAAUGUGUCUUGGCUACUGUGUCUUGGCUAAGGUGUCUUGGCUAAUGUGUCUCGGCUAAUGUGUCUUGGCUAAUGUGUCUUGGCUAAUGUGUCUUGGCUAAGGUUUCUUGGCUAAUGUGUCUUGGCAAAUGUGUCUUGGCUAAGGUUUCUUGGCUAAUGUGUCUUGGCUAAUGUGUCUUGGCUAAAGUGUCUUGGCUAAGGUGUCUUGGCUAAUGUGUCUUGGCUAAGGUGUCUUGGCUAAUGUGUCUUGGCUAAUGUGUCUUUUCUAAGGUGUCUUGGCUAAGGUGUCGUGGCUAAAGUGUCUUGGCUAAGGUGUCUUGGCUAAUGUGUCUUGGCUAAUGUGUCUUGGCUAAGGUGUCUUGGCUAAGGUGUCUUGGCUAAGUUGUCUUGGCUAAGGUGACUUGGCUAACGUGUCUUGGCUAAGGUGUCUUGGCUAAGGUGUCUUGGCUAAGGUGUCUUGGCUAAGGUGUCUUGGCUAAGGUGUCUUGGCUAAGGUGUCUUGGCUAAGGUGUCUUGGCUAAGGUGUCUUGGCUAAGGUGUCUUGGCUAAGGUGUCUUGGCUAAGGUGACUUGGCUAACGUGUCUUGGCUAAGGUGUCUUGGCUAAGGUGUCUUGGCUAAGGUGUCUUGGCUAAGGUGUCUUGGCUAAGGUGUCUUGGCUAAGGUGACUUGGCUAAUGUGUCUUGGCUAAGGUGUCUUGGCUAAGGUGUCUUGGCUAAGGUGUCUUGGCUAAGGUGUCUUGGCUAAGGUGUCUUGGCUAAGGUGUCUUGGCUAAGGUGUCUUGGCUAAGGUGUCUUGGCUAUGGUGUCUUGGCUAAUGUGUCUUGGCUAAUGUGUCUUGGCUAAUGUGUCUUGGCUAAUGUAUCUUGGCUAAGGUGUCUUGGCUAAGGUGUCUUGGCUAAUGUGUCUUGGCUAAUGUGUCUUGGCUAAGGUGUCUUGGCUAAGGUGUCUUGGCUACUGUGUCUUGGCUAAGGUGUCUUGGCUAAUGUGUCUCGGCUAAUGUGUCUUGGCUAAUGUGUCUUGGCUAAUGUGUCUUGGCUAAGGUUUCUUGGCUAAUGUGUCUUGGCUAAUGUGUCUUGGCUAAUGUGUCUUGGCUAAUGUGUCUUGGCUAAUGUGUCUGGGCUAAGGUGUCUUGGCUCAUGUGUCUUGGCUAAGGUGUCUUGGCUAAAGUGUCUUGGCUAAGGUGUCUUGGCUAAUGUGUCUUGGCUAAUGUGUUUUGGCUAAUGUGUCUUGGCGAAUGUGUCUUGGCUAAUGUGUCUUGGCUAAGGUGUCUUGGCUAAUGAUUCUUGGCUAAGGUCUCUUAACUAAUGUGUCUUGGCUAAUGUGUCUUGGCUAAGGUGUCUUGGCUAAGGUGUCUUGGCUAAGGUGUCUUGGCUAAUGUGUCUUGGCUAAUGUGUCUCGGCUAAUGUGUCUUGGCUAAUGUGUCUUGGCUAAUGUGUCUUGGCUAAGGUGUCUUGGCUAAUGUGUCUUGGCUAAGGUGUCUUGGCUAAUGUGUCUUGGCUAAGGUUUCUUGGCUUAUGUGUCUUGGCUAAUGUGUCUUGGCUAAGGUGUCUUGGCUAUUGUGUCUUGGCUAAUGUGUCUGGGCUAAGGUGUCUUGGCUCAUGUGUCUUGGCUAAGGUGUCUUGGCUAAAGUGUCUUGGCUAAGGUGUCUUGGCUAAGGUGUCUUGGCUAAUGAGUCUUGGCUAAGGUGUCUUGGCUAAGGUGUCUUGGCUAAGGUGUCUUGGCUAAUGUGUCUUGGCUAAUGUGUCUUGGCUAAUGUGUCUUGGCUAAUGUGUCUUGGCUAAUGUGUUUUGGCUAAUGUGUCUUGGCUAAUGUGUUUUGGCUAAUGUGUCUUGGCUAAGGUGUCUUGGCUAAUGUGUCUUGGCUAAUGUUUCUUGGCUAAUGUGUCUUGGCUAAUGUGUCUUGACUAAUGUGUCUUGGCUAAUGUGUCUUGGCUAAAGUGUCUUGGCUAAAGUGUCUUGGCUAAGGUGUCUUUGCUAAGGUGUCUUGGCUAAGGUGUCUUGGCUAAUGUUCCUUGGCUAAUGUGUCUUGGCAAAUGUGUCUUGACUAACGUGUCUUGGCUAAUGUGUCUUGGGUAAUGUGUCUUGGCUAAGGUGUCUUGGCUAAUGUGUCUUGGCUAAGGUGUCUUGGCUAAUGUGUCUAGGCUAAGGUGUCUUGGCUAAUGUGUCUUGGCUAAUGUUCCUUGGCUAAUGUGUCUUGGCAAAUGUGUCUUGACUAACGUGUCUUGGCUAAUGUGUCUUGGGUAAUGUGUCUUGGCUAAAGUGUCUUGGCUAAGAUGUCUUGGCAAAUGUGUCUUGGCUAAGGUGUCUUGGCUAAUGUGUCUUGGCUAAGGUGUCAUGGCUAAGGUGUCUAGGCUAAUGUGUCUUGGCUAAGGUGUCUUGGCUAAUGUGUCUAGGCUAAUGUGUCUUGGCUAAGGUGUCUCGACUAAUGUGUCUUGGCUAAUGUGUGUUGGCUAAUGUGUCUUGGCUAAUGUGUCUUGGCUAAUGUGUCUUGGCUAAGGUGUCUUGGCUAAGGUGUCUUGGCUAAUGUGUCUUGGCUAAUGUGUCUUGGCUAAGGUGUCUUGGCUAAGGUGUCUUGGCUACUGUGUCUUGGCGAAAGUGUCUUGGUUAAUGUGUCUCGGCUAAUGUGUCUUGGCUAAUGUGUCUUGGCUAAUGUGUCUUGGCUAAGGUGUCUUGGCUAAUGUGUCUUGGCUAAUGUGUCUUGGCUAAGGUUUCUUGGCUAAUGUGUCUUGGCUAAUGUGUCUUGGCUAAUGUGUCUUGGCUAAAGUGUCUUGGCUAAUGUGUCUGGGCUUAGGUGUCUUGGCUCUUGUGUCUUGGCUAAGGUUUCUUGGCUAAUGUGUGUUGGCUAAUGUGUCUUGGCUAAUGUGUCUUGGCUAAAGUGUCUUGGCUAAUGUGUCUUGGCUAAUGUGUCUUGGCUAAGGUGUCUUGGCUAAUGUGUCUUGGCUAAUGUGUCUUGGCUAAUGUGUCUUGGCUAAGGUGUCUUUUCUAAGGUGUCUUGGCUAAGGUGUCUUGGCUACUGUGUCUUGGCUAAGGUGUCUUGGCUAAUGUGUCUCGGCUAAUGUGUCUUGGCUAAUGUGUCUUGGCUAAUGUGUCUUGGCUAUGGUGUCUUGGCUAAGGUGUCUUGGCUACUGUGUCUUGGCGAAAGUGUCUUGGUUAAUGUGUCUCGGCUAAUGUGUCUUGGCUAAUGUGUCUUGGCUAAUGUGUCUUGGCUAAGGUGUCUUGGCUAAUGUGUCUUGGCUAAUGUGUCUUGGCUAAGGUUUCUUGGCUAAUGUGUCUUGGCUAAUGUGUCUUGGCUAAUGUGUCUUGGCUAAAGUGUCUUGGCUAAUGUGUGUUGGCUAAUGUGUCUUGGCUAAGGUGUCUUGGCUAAGGUUUCUUGGCUAAUGUGUGUUGGCUAAUGUGUCUUGGCUAAUGUGUCUUGGCUAAUGUGUCUUGGCUAAAGUGUCUUGGCUAAGGUGUCUUGGCUAAUGUGUCUUGGCUAAGGUGUCUUGGCUAAUGUGUCUUGGCUAAGGUGUCUUGGCUAAGAUGUCUUGGCUAAUGUGUCUUGGCUAAUGUGUCUUGGCUAAUGUGUCUUGGCUAAAGUGUCUUGGCUAAGAUGUCUUGGCUAAUGUGUCUUGGCUAAGGUGUCUUGGCUAAGGUGUGUUGGCUAAGGUGUCUUGGCUGAGGUGUCUUGGCUAAGGUGUCUUGGCUAAGGUGUCUUGGCUAAUGUGUCUUGGCUAUGGUGUCUUGGCUAAUGUGUCUUGGCUAAUGUGUCUUGGCUAAUGUGUGUUGGCUAAGGUGUCUUGGCUAAUGUGUCUUGGCUAAUGUGUCUUGGCUAAGGUGUCUUGGCUAAGGUGUCUUGGCUAAUGUGUCUUGGCUAAUGUGUCUUGGCUAAGGUGUCUUGGCUAAGGUGUCUUGGCUACUGUGUCUUGGCUAAAGUGUCUUGGUUAAUGUGUCUCGGCUAAUGUGUCUUGGCUAAUGUGUCUUGGCUAAUGUGUCUUGGCUAAUGUGUCUGUGCUAAUGUGUCUUGGCUAAUGUGUCUUGGCUAAGGUGUCUUGGCUAAUGUGUCUUGGCUUAGGUGUCUCGGCUAAUGUGUCUUGGCUAAUGUGUCUUGGCUAAGGUGUCUCGGCUAAGGUGUCUUGGCUAAUGUGUCUUGGCUAAUGUGUCUUGGCUAAUGUGUCUUGGCUUAGGUGUCUCGGCUAAUGUGUCUUGGCUAAUGUGUCUUGGCUAAGGUGUCUUGGCUAAGGUGUCUUGGCUAAGGUGUCUUGGCUAAUGUGUCUGUGCUAAUGUGUCUUGGCUAAUGUGUCUUGGCUAAGGUGUCUUGGCUAAUGUGUCUUGGCUUAGGUGUCUCGGCUAAUGUGUCUUGGCUAAGGUAUUUUGGCUAAGGUGUCUUGGCUAAGGUGUCUUGGCUAAUGUGUCUUGGCUAAUGUGUCUUGGCUAAUGUGUCUUGGCUUAGGUGUCUCGGCUAAUGUGUCUUGGCUAAUGUGUCUUGGCUAAGGUGUCUUGGCUAAGGUGUCUUGGCUAAUGUGUCUCGGCUAAUGUGUCUUGGCUAAUGUGUCUUGGCUAAGGUGUCUUCGCUAAGGUGUCUUGGCUAAGGUGUCUUGGCUAAUGUGUCUUGGCUAAGCUGUCUUGGCUAAUGUGUCUUGGCUAAUGUGUCUUGGCUAAGGUGUCUUGGCUAAUGUGUCUUGGCUAAUGUGUCUUGGCUAAGGUGUCUUGGCUAAGGUGUCUUGGCUAAUGUGUCUUGGCUAAGGUGUUUUGGCUAAGGUGUCUUGGCUAAGGUGUCUUGGCUAAUGUGUCUUGGCUAAUGUGUCUUGGCUUAGGUGUCUCGGCUAAUGUGUCUUGGCUAAUGUGUCUUGGCUAAGGUGUUUUUUCUAAGGUGUCUUGGCUAAGGUGUCUUGGCUAAUGUGUCUUGGCUAAGGUGUCUUGGCUAAUGUGUCUCGGCUAAUGUGUCUUGGCUAAGGUGUCUUGGCUAAUGUGUCUUGGCUAAUGUGUCUCGGCUAAUGUGUCUUGGCUAAGGUGUCUUGGCUAAUGUGUCUCGGCUAAGGUGUCUUGGCUAAGGUGUCUCGGCUAAUGUGUCUUGGCUAAUGUGUCUUGGCUAAUGUGUCUUGGCUAAGGUGUCUUGGCUAAGGUGUCUCGGCUAAUGUGUCUUGGCUAAUGUGUCUUGGCUAAGGUGUCUUGGCUAAUGUGUCUCGGCUAUUGUGUCUUGGCUAAUGUGUCUUGGCUAAUGUGUCUCGGCUAAUGUGUCUUGGUAAAAGUGUCUCUGCUAAUGUGUCUUGGCUAAUGUGUCUCGGCUAAUGUGUCUUGGCUAAGGUGUCUUGGCUAAGGUGUCUUGGCUAAUGUGUCUUGGCUAAUGUGUCUUGGCUAAGGAGUCUUGGCUAAUGUGUCUUGGCUAAGGUGUCUUGGCUAAUGUGUCUUGGCUAAUGUGUCUUGGCUAAGGUGUCUUGGCUAAGGUGUCUUGGCUAAGGUGUCUGGCUAAUGUGUCUUGGCUAAUGUGUCUUGGCUAAUGUGUCUUGGCUUAUGUGUCUCGGCUAAUGUUUCUUGGCUAAGGUGUCUUGGCUAAGGUGUCUUGGCUAAUGUGUCUUGGCUAAUGUGUCUUGGAUAAGGUGUCUUGGCUAAGGUGUCUUGGCUAAUGUGUCUAGGCAAAUGUGUCUUGGCUAAUGUGUCUUGGCUAAUGUGUCUCGGCUAAUGUGUCUUGGCUAAGGUGUCUUGGCUAAGGUGUCUUGGCUAAUGUGUCUUGGCUAAUGUGUCUUGGCUAAUGUGUGGUGGCUAAUGUGUCUUGGCUAAGGUGUCUUGGCUAAUGUGUCUCGGCUAUUGUGUCUUGGCUAAUGUGUCUUGGCUAAUGUGUCUCGGCUAAUGUGUCUUGGUAAAAGUGUCUCUGCUAAUGUGUCUUGGCUAAUGUGUCUCGGCUAAUGUGUCUUGGCUAAGGUGUCUUGGCUAAGGUGUCUUGGCUAAUGUGUCUUGGCUAAUGUGUCUUGGCUAAGGAGUCUUGGCUAAUGUGUCUUGGCUAAGGUGUCUUGGCUAAGGUGUCUUGGCUAAUGUGUCUCGGCUAAUGUGUCUUGGCUAAGGUGUCUUGGCUAAGGUGUCUCGGCUAAUGUGUCUUGGCUUAUGUGUCUUGGCUAAGGUGUCUUGGCUAAGGUGUCUUGGCUAAGGUGUCUUGGCUAAGGUGUCUUGGCUAAGGUGUCUUGGCUAAUGUGUCUUGGCUUAUGUGUCUCGGCUAAUGUGUCUUGGCUAAGGUGUCUUGGCUAAGGUGUCUUGGCUUAUGUGUCUUGGCUAAGGUGUCUUGGAUAAGGUGUCUUGGCUAAUGUGUCUCGGCUUAUGUGUCUCGGCUAAUGUGUCUUGGCUAAGGUGUCUUGGCUAAUGUGUCUUGCCUAAUGUGUCUUGGCUAAUGUGUCUUGGCUAAGGUGUCUCGGCUAAUGUGUCUUGGCUUAGGUGUCUUGGCUAAUGUGUCUCGGCUAAUGUGUCUCGGCUAAUGUGUCUUGGCUAAGGUGUCUUGGCUAAGGUGUCUUGGCUAAGGUGUCUUGGCUUAUGUGUCUUGGCUAAGGUGUCUUGGCUAAUGUGUCUUGGCUUAGGUGUCUUGGCUAAUGUGUCUCGGCUAAUGUGUCUUGGCUAAGGUGUCUUGGCUAAGGUGUCUUGGCUAAUGUGUCUUGGCUAAUGUGUCUCGGCUAAUGUGUCUUGGCUAAGGUGUCUUGGCUAAGGUGUCUUGGCUAAUGUGUCUUGGCUAAUGUGUCUUGGCUAAUGUGUGGUGGCUAAUGUGUCUUGGCUAAGGUGUCUUGGCUAAUGUGUCUCGGCUAUUGUGUCUUGGCUAAUGUGUCUCGGCUAAUGUGUCUCGGCUAAUGUGUCUUGGCUAAUGUGUCUUGGCUAAGGUGUCUUGGCUAAGGUGUCUUGGCUAAGGUGUCUUGGCUAAUGUGUCUCGGCUAAUGUGUCUUGGCUAAUGUGUCUUGGCUAAUGUGUCUUGGCUAAGGUGUCUUGGCUAAGGUGUCUUGGCUAAGGUGUCUUGGCUAAUGUGUCUCGGCUAAUGUGUCUUGGUAAAUGUGUCUUGGCUAAUGUGUCUUGGCUAAUGUGUCUCGGCUAAUGUGUCUUGGCUAAGGUGUCUUGGCUAAGGUGUCUUGGCUAAUGUGUCUUGGCUAAUGUGUCUUGGCUAAUGUGUCUUGGCUAAGGUGUCUUGGCUAAGGUGUCUUGGCUAAUGUGUCUUGGCUAAGGUGUCUCGGUUAAUGUGUCUUGGCUAAGGUGUCGUGGCUAAAGUGUCUUGGCUAAGGUGUCUUGGCUAAGGUGUCUUGGCUAAGGUGUCUUGGCUAAUGUGUCUCGGCUAAUGUGUCUUGGCUAAGGUGUCUUGGCUUAGGUGUCUUGGCUAAUGUGUCUUGGCAAAUGUGUCUUGGCUAAUGUGUCUUGGCUAAUGUGUCUCGGCUAAUGUGUCUUGGCUAAUGUGUCUCGGCUAAUGUGUCUUGGCUAAGGUUUCUUGGCUUAGGUGUCUUGGCUAAUGUGUCUUGGCAAAUGUGUCUUGGCUAAUGUGUCUUGGCUAAUGUGUCUCGGCUAAUGUGUCUUGGCUAAUGUGUCUCGGCUAAUGUGUCUUGGCUAAGGUGUCUUGGCUUAGGUGUCUUGGCUAAUGUGUCUUAGCAAAUGUGUCUUGGCUAAUGUGUCUUGGCUAAUGUGUCUUGGCUAAGGUGUCUUGGCUAAGGUGUCUUGGCUAAUGUGUCUUGGCUAAUGUGUCUUGGCUAAGGUGUCUUGGCUAAGGUGUCUUGGCUAAUGUGUCUUGGCUAAGGUGUCUUGGCUAAUGUGUCUUGGCUAAUGUGUCUUGGCUAAGGUGUCUUGGCUAAGGUGUCUUGGCUAAUGUGUCUUGGCUAAUGUGUCUUGGCUAAUGUGUCUUGGCUAAGGUGUCUUGGCUAAUGUGUCUUGGCUAAUGUGUCUUGGCUAAGGUGUCUUGGCUAAUGUGUCUUGGCUAAUGUGUCUUGGCUAAGGUGUCUUGGCUAAGGUGUCUUGGCUAAGGUGUCUUGGCUAAUGUGUCUUGGCUAAUGUGUCUUGGCUAAGGUGUCUCGGCUAAGGUGUCUUGGCUAAUGUGUCUCGGCUAAUGUGUCUUGGCUAAGGUGUCUUGGCUUAGUUGUCUUGGCUAAUGUGUCUUGGCAAAUGUGUCUUGGCUAAUGUGUCUUGGCUAAUGUGUCUCGGCUAAUGUGUCUUGGCUAAUGUGUCUCGGCUAAUGUGUCUUGGCUAAGGUGUCUUGGCUUAGGUGUCUUGGCUAAUGUGUCUUGGCAAAUGUGUCUUGGCUAAUGUGUCUUGGCUAAUGUGUCUUGGCUAAGGUGUCUUGGCUAAGGUGUCUUGGCUAAUGUGUCUUGGCUAAAGUGUCUUGGCUAAGGUGUCUUGGCUAAGGUGUCUUGGCUAAUGUGGCUUGGCUAAGGUGUCUUGGCUAAUGUGUCUUGGCUAAUGUGUCUUGGCUAAUGUGUCUUGGCAAAUGUGUCUUGGCUAAUGUGUCUUGGCUAAUGUGUCUUGGCUAAGGUGUCUUGGCUAAGGUGUCUUGGCUAAUGUGUCUUGGCUAAAGUGUCUUGGCUAAGGUGUCUUGGCUAAGGUGUCUUGGCUAAUGUGGCUUGGCUAAGGUGUCUUGGCUAAUGUGUCUUGGCUAAUGUGUCUUGGCUAAUGUGUCUUGGCUAAGGUGUCUUGGCUAAUGUGUCUUGGCUAAUGUGUCUUGGCUAAUGUGUCUUGGCUAAUGUGUCUUGGCUAAGGUGUCUUGGCUAAGGUGUCUUGGCUAAUGUGUCUUGGCUAAUGUGUCUUGGCUAAGGUGUCUUGGCUAAGGUGUCUUGGCAAAGGUGUCUUGGCUAAGGUGUCUUGGCUAAGGUGUCUCGGCUAAUGUGUCUUGGCUAAUGUGUCUUGGCUGAGGUUU